UGGAUUUGUAGUGUGUCAUUUACCUGGUACAUUGUAGUGGCAGAGGUUUGUUCAUGUAGGAAUCUUUUCUGUCUUUCCAGCUUGCGUGAACAGAGAACACCCCACCCAGUAUAAUAUCCCCAUUCUUAGAUAGCAGUGGGUUCUCAGGAUCUCCUCUACGCCUGCACACUGGCUCCUCAGCAUAAGAGGCAGAUACCACUAACAGCAGUUGCAGAAGUGCCCAUCCUUUUUCUGGCCAUCUUUGUGUUGAUGUCAUUUCUUGAGCUAAACCCUUAGUAGCAUUGAAGUACUGCAAUGACGAUGCACUACUUAUACUGGUAUUUAUACCUUUUGGUGCAGCAUAAGAAAUAAAUGAAUAGAGACUGUAGCUGACGCUGAAAUGGUUGUGUUGGUUGCCAUGACAACACCAGUAGCGCAUCUGAGAUCGUUAUGUUGUUUUCUGUUUGUUUUCGUUAUUUGGUACUCAUGUUUGUGUUCAUUUGCAGUAGGAAAAGAUAAUCUGUGAAUCCAGUAAUACAUCCUGCUUAUAAGAAACGUUUUUGUUAAAAAUUAUUGUGAAGUAGUCACUUCCUGUGAGUCGCGGGAACCGGAAGUUGUGCGCCGGAGAGACAAGACAGAGCGGUAACACGGCGGACUUUUUGGAAUGUACAACUUUUCUACUGCUGGUUUUACAAGGCGUACACGUUUUCACGGUGCUCCAUGAUUGUGAGAGGAAUAAAAGAAUUGUGGACAUCAGUACGAAGCGUGGAUUCUUUCGACCAGAGUAGAUACAGUGAAAACGUGUCCCAAUCCAUCUGGAGGCUUCGGUGUGCAAAGCUCUUCUCAUCCUGCAACAAGCUACAGGUCUCGGUUUGCAACGCGCUUCUCCUCCUGCAGCAAACUACAGGCUUCGGUGUGCAAAGCUCUUCUCAUCCUGCAGCAAGCUACAGGUCUCGGUUGCUUCUCAUCCUGCAGUGAGCUACAGGCUUCAGUGGACACGUUGCUUUCCAUUCUGUGACAACCAAACGGGAGCUGCAGAUUCAGCGGACACUCCAAGAAGUGGUUUCAGGCUAAAGCGUGAGUCCUCAGGCUAUAUUGCGCAGUUAUUAUGCCUCAAGAGUUGAUGGAUAGAACAUGAGCUACAAAUUUGCUAUAAUGGACAAGAUAUUAAUAGUGUUCAAAUUUCAGACUGUGUAAAAAAAAAAAAAAAAAAAGACAAUCUGUGGAAGUUCUGGAAAUUAUUGUUGCUUUCUUACCUAUUGUUUGCAAGCUUCAUGAAGGCUGAAACUGAAGAUUUAUUUGCUCUCAUACGUAAGAAUCUAAGCUAAGGUGGCUUUGUGUUAAUUUUAAUAAUUGUCCGCCUAUUACAUCCAUUCCAUUUUUUAAUUACCUUAGAUAUCUUGUCCUCUUCAUAAGAUACCCCCUUUAAAGUCUGAAAAUGUCUAAAGAUGGUCAUAGUCACCGUGAUGUUAUGUCAGAAGUACAAGAUGCAGGGGAUUUGGAAGAGGGA
ensembl:lncRNA